AGUGAACGCUGGCGGUAGGCCUAACACAUGCAAGUCGAACGGCAGCACAGUAAGAGCUUGCUCUUACGGGUGGCGAGUGGCGGACGGGUGAGGAAUACAUCGGAAUCUACUUUUUCGUGGGGGAUAACGUAGGGAAACUUACGCUAAUACCGCAUACGACCUACGGGUGAAAGCAGGGGAUCUUCGGACCUUGCGCGAUUGAAUGAGCCGAUGUCGGAUUAGCUAGUUGGCGGGGUAAAGGCCCACCAAGGCGACGAUCCGUAGCUGGUCUGAGAGGAUGAUCAGCGACACGGGAACUGAGACACGGUCCAGACUCCUACGGGAGGCAGCAGUGGGGAAUAUUGGACAAUGGGCGCAAGCCUGAUCCAGCCAUACCGCGUGGGUGAAGAAGGCCUUCGGGUUGUAAAGCCCUUUUGUUGGGAAAGAAAAGCAGCAGGUUAAUACGCCGCUGUUCUGACGGUACCCAAAGAAUAAGCACCGGCUAACUUCGUG
rnacentral:rRNA from 1 species